UCCACUCGUUAGGGGUGUCGAGCGCCGUUUGCUGUGGCGGUCGACUGAGAAAUACCCUUCGAACCUGACCGGGUCAUGCCGUCGUAGGGAAACGAACUUUGUUGCUC
rnacentral:ncRNA from 1 species